CGGGGCGUAGCGCAGCUUGGUAGCGCGUCGGUUUUGGGAGCCGAAAGUCCCCGGUUCAAAUCCGGGCGCCCCGA
rnacentral:tRNA from 1 species